GUAGGGGGCAAGCGUUGUCCGGAAUUAUUGGGCGUAAAGCGCGCGCAGGCGGUCUCUUAAGUCUGAUGUGAAAGCCCACGGGCUCAACCGUGGUGGGUCAUUGGAAACUGGGGGACUUGAGUGUAGGAGAGGAAAGUGGAAUUCCACGUGUAGCGGUGAAAUGCGUAGAUAUGUGGAGGAACACCAGUGGCGAAGGCGACUUUCUGGCCUACAACUGACGCUGAGGUGCGAAAGCGCGGGGAGCAAACAGGAUUAGAUACCCUGGUAGUCCACGCCGUAAACGAUGAGUGCUAGGUGUUAGGGGUUUCGAUGCCCUUAGUGCCGAAGUUAACACAUUAAGCACUCCGCCUGGGGAGUACGGCCGCAAAGGCUG
rnacentral:rRNA from 1 species